rnacentral:lncRNA from 1 species
CCAGCACAAAGGAGAACAUGGUCUUUGCUGGCUUCACAGAUGGCACAGUCAGGAUAUGGGACCUGCGGACUCAGGAAAUAGUCAGGUGCAGACACGGGGAAGGAGCACCACCAGCUGAGGACUGCAAGUCCUGCCAUCUUUCUUGCCUACAGCCCUCUCUGCUGGAGUGGCAGCCAUGCCACGCCCCCUCACUAGGGGAUUGUGGGUGGGACUCUACCCCCAGAUCAUCAUUGGGGGAUUCUAGGCAGGAGGCCUAUUCCUGACCACGCCCCCAGCCUGCUUUUUACCUUUAGGUUAGGGUGUGUCUGGUGUAGCCCAGGUUGUCCGCAAGCACAGAAAAUAACCUUAAACUCGUCUUGCCUUUGCCUCCC